rnacentral:SRP_RNA from 13 species
CUGGAAGGCAGCAGCCCUAGGUUCACUCUGUG